rnacentral:rRNA from 1 species
GACAGAGGGGGCAAGCGUUGCUCGGAAUUACUGGGCGUAAAGGGCGCGUAGGCGGGAUGGCAAGUCGGUCGUGAAAGCCUUCGGCUCAACCGAAGAACGUCGGGCCGAUACUGCCGUUCUUGAGGGAUGCAGAGGAGACUGGAAUUCCCGGUGUAGCGGUGAAAUGUGUAGAGAUCGGGAGGAACACCGGUGGCGAAGGCGGGUCUCUGGGCAUCUCCUGACGCUGAGGCGCGAAAAGCGUGGGUAGCAAAACAGGG